rnacentral:tRNA from 2 species
GCCCUGGUAGUAUAGCCUGGCCUAGUAUGCGGGCCUGUCACGCCUGCGGCCCGGGUUCAAAUCCCGGCCAGGGCGCCA